rnacentral:rRNA from 1 species
GACGAACGCUGGCGGCGUGCCUAAUACAUGCAAGUCGAGCGAAGUUUUUCUGGUGCUUGCACCGGAAAAACUUAGCGGCGAACGGGUGAGUAACACGUAAAGAACCUGCCUCAUAGACUGGGUCAACUAUUGGAAACGAUAGCUAAUACCGGAUAACAGCAUUAACUGCAUGGUUGAUGUUUGAAAGUUGGUUUUGCUAACACUAUGAGAUGGCUUUGCGGUGCAUUAGCUAGUUGGUGGGGUAAAGGCCUACCAAGGCGACGAUGCAUAGCCGACCUGAGAGGGUGAUCGGCCACACUGGGACUGAGACACGGCCCAGACUCCUACGGGAGGCAGCAGUAGGGAAUCUUCCGCAAUGGGCGAAAGCCUGACGGAGCAACGCCGCGUGAGUGAAGAAGGAUUUCGGUUCGUAAAGCUCUGUUGUUAGGGAAGAAUGAUUGUGUAGUAACUAUACAUAGUAGAGACGGUACCUAACCAGAAAGCCACGGCUAACUACGUGCCAGCAGCCGCGGUAAUACGUAGGUGGCAAGCGUUGUCCGGAAUUAUUGGGCGUAAAGCGCGCGCAGGUGGUUUAAUAAGUCUGAUGUGAAAGCCCACGGCUCAACCGUGGAGGGUCAUUGGAAACUGUUAAACUUGAGUGCAGGAGAGAAAAGUGGAAUUCCUAGUGUAGCGGUGAAAUGCGUAGAGAUUAGGAGGAACACCAGUGGCGAAGGCGGCUUUUUGGCCUGUAACUGACACUGAGGCGCGAAAGCGUGGGGAGCAAACAGG